CGAGGGAAAGCGAGGAGGGAGGGGAGGGGUGGCGGCCCGGCAGAGCGUGUGACAGCAUCAUGGUGAGAGGAUUGGCUGUCUUCUUCCUCCUGGCGGGGGCGUGUCUGGCGCUGGCGGAGGACGUGGUGGACAAGGGCGUCGCUAAGGCCAGGGUGGAGAGCUGCAGUGGAUGACAGCUCAACAGGUAUCCUGGAGCGAAGCAAUUCAUCCAGGAGGACCUCCCGCUCUUCCACAACACUAAGUUCCAGCACAUUGGAGGAGCGGCGCCUGAGCUGCUUCUGCUCAACAAACAAGACCAGGAGCUUGAGCGCUUCGACCUCAAGAAGCUGUCGCGUGAGGAAAUCAAUGAGCUCAUGAUCAAGAAGGGAUUUUACAAGAAGUCCAGCAAGGAUGAGCAGGUCCCAGAGGAAUACCAGGAAGGCCCCUACAUGGAGAAGGAGGAGCUAUAGAAGUGUACCUACCCAUAGCCUGUUUUCUCAAGCAUAUCGGCACCUCAGCUCGACUCUUUGAAAAGCCUCUCUCUAGAAGUUGCUGGGGUUUUCACGUGGUGUUUUGUGACCUUGGUGAUGGUUUAACCCGACCUUUGUACUAUCUUAAAAGGAAAAGUCACCCCCCCAUGAGAACACUGUUAAUCUAUUCUGAGGGCUUGGAAAAUAGUUGUAAUGGGAGCCCGAUACGUUUAAGAAUACAGGCCUUCUAGUCUUUUUUUUUAAAUUGUGCUUAAAUAAUUCCCCAUUUUUAGAGGUAUUUUUCUAGAUUCUUACACAACUGCUCCAGGUACUUAAUUCAUUGUUAAUUGAUGAUGCUCUAUGUGAGUCGAUUUUCCAACGCACAGCAUAUUGGCUUGUGGGGGCGACAGUGUGGGGGGCGAGGGAGCCAUUCAUGAAGGGGCUGGUGGAAAGGGCUGCUGUCCACGCCACUCCCGGAACUCCUCGGUCUCCCUCACCCUCCGACUGUGUCCUUCACGUGCCAAGACUUUGAAUAAAUAAUCUAAACUA